CCUCGUGUGGUUGCAUUGUAAUAUCGGAUUUAGAAUCAAAUACGUAAACUCGGUGCAUAAAACACUUAAAUUUUAGCUCGAAUGCUUUAGAACAUCUCCAAUGUAUUCAUCUCUUUUUAAUCUUAUUAUUAGUAUUCUAUUUUAGUGUAAGAUAUAUAGUGAGACUUGCCACUUUUUUCCAAAAAGCAUAUCCUCUUCCGAAAUUCG